rnacentral:rRNA from 1 species
UGUGAGCUCGAUGAGUAGGGCGGGACACGUGGUAUCCUGUCUGAAUAUGGGGGGACCAUCCUCCAAGGCUAAAUACUCCUGACUGACCGAUAGUGAACCAGUACCGUGAGGGAAAGGCGAAAAGAACCCCGGCGAGGGGAGUGAAAAAGAACCUGAAACCGUGUACGUACAAGCAGUGGGAGCACGCUUAGGCGUGUGACUGCGUACCUUUUGUAUAAUGGGUCAGCGACUUAUAUUCUGUAGCAAGGUUAACCGAAUAGGGGAGCCGAAGGGAAACCGAGUCUUAACUGGGCGUUAAGUUGCAGGGUAUAGACCCGAAACCCGGUGAUCUAGCCAUGGGCAGGUUGAAGGUUGGGUAACACUAACUGGAGGACCGAACCGACUAAUGUUGAAAAAUUAGCGGAUGACUUGUGGCUGGGGGUGAAAGGCCAAUCAAACCGGGAGAUAGCUGGUUCUCCCCGAAAGCUAUUUAGGUAGCGCCUCGUGAAUUCAUCUCCGGGGGUAGAGCACUGUUUCGGCAAGGGGGUCAUCCCGACUUACCAACCCGAUGCAAACUGCGAAUACCGGAGAAUGUUAUCACGGGAGACACACGGCGGGUGCUAACGUCCGUCGUGAAGAGGGAAACAACCCAGACCGCCAGCUAAGGUCCCAAAGUCAUGGUUAAGUGGGAAACGAUGUGGGAAGGCCCAGACAGCCAGGAUGUUGGCUUAGAAGCAGCCAUCAUUUAAAGAAAGCGUAAUAGCUCACUGGUCGAGUCGGCCUGCGCGGAAGAUGUAACGGGGCUAAACCAUGCACCGAAGCUGCGGCAGCGACGCUUAUGCGUUGUUGGGUAGGGGAGCGUUCUGUAAGCCUGCGAAGGUGUGCUGUGAGGCAUGCUGGAGGUAUCAGAAGUGCGAAUGCUGACAUAAGUAACGAUAAAGCGGGUGAAAAGCCCGCUCGCCGGAAGACCAAGGGUUCCUGUCCAACGUUAAUCGGGGCAGGGUGAGUCGACCCCUAAGGCGAGGCCGAAAGGCGUAGUCGAUGGGAAACAGGUUAAUAUUCCUGUACUUGGUGUUACUGCGAAGGGGGGACGGAGAAGGCUAUGUUGGCCGGGCGACGGUUGUCCCGGUUUAAGCGUGUAGGCUGGUUUUCCAGGCAAAUCCGGAAAAUCAAGGCUGAGGCGUGAUGACGAGGCACUACGGUGCUGAAGCAACAAAUGCCCUGCUUCCAGGAAAAGCCUCUAAGCAUCAGGUAACAUCAAAUCGUACCCCAAACCGACACAGGUGGUCAGGUAGAGAAUACCAAGGCGCUUGAGAGAACUCGGGUGAAGGAACUAGGCAAAAUGGUGCCGUAACUUCGGGAGAAGGCACGCUGAUAUGUAGGUGAAGUCCCUCGCGGAUGGAGCUGAAAUCAGUCGAAGAUACCAGCUGGCUGCAACUGUUUAUUAAAAACACAGCACUGUGCAAACACGAAAGUGGACGUAUACGGUGUGACGCCUGCCCGGUGCCGGAAGGUUAAUUGAUGGGGUUAGCGCAAGCGAAGCUCUUGAUCGAAGCCCCGGUAAACGGCGGCCGUAACUAUAACGGUCCUAAGGUAGCGAAAUUCCUUGUCGGGUAAGUUCCGACCUGCACGAAUGGCGUAAUGAUGGCCAGGCUGUCUCCACCCGAGACUCAGUGAAAUUGAACUCGCUGUGAAGAUGCAGUGUACCCGCGGCAAGACGGAAAGACCCCGUGAACCUUUACUAUAGCUUGACACUGAACAUUGAGCCUUGAUGUGUAGGAUAGGUGGGAGGCUUUGAAGUGUGGACGCCAGUCUGCAUGGAGCCGACCUUGAAAUACCACCCUUUAAUGUUUGAUGUUCUAACGUUGACCCGUAAUCCGGGUUGCGGACAGUGUCUGGUGGGUAGUUUGACUGGGGCGGUCUCCUCCUAAAGAGUAACGGAGGAGCACGAAGGUUGGCUAAUCCUGGUCGGACAUCAGGAGGUUAGUGCAAUGGCAUAAGCCAGCUUGACUGCGAGCGUGACGGCGCGAGCAGGUGCGAAAGCAGGUCAUAGUGAUCCGGUGGUUCUGAAUGGAAGGGCCAUCGCUCAACGGAUAAAAGGUACUCCGGGGAUAACAGGCUGAUACCGCCCAAGAGUUCAUAUCGACGGCGGUGUUUGGCACCUCGAUGUCGGCUCAUCACAUCCUGGGGCUGAAGUAGGUCCCAAGGGUAUGGCUGUUCGCCAUUUAAAGUGGUACGCGAGCUGGGUUUAGAACGUCGUGAGACAGUUCGGUCCCUAUCUGCCGUGGGCGCUGGAGAACUGAGGGGGGCUGCUCCUAGUACGAGAGGACCGGAGUGGACGCAUCACUGGUGUUCGGGUUGUCAUGCCAAUGGCACUGCCCGGUAGCUAAAUGCGGAAGAGAUAAGUGCUGAAAGCAUCUAAGCACGAAACUUGCCCCGAGAUGAGUUCUCCCUGACUCCUUGAGAGUCCUGAAGGAACGUUGAAGACGACGACGUUGAUAGGCCGGGUGUGUAAGCGCAGCGAUGCGUUGAGCUAACCGGUACUAAUGAACCGUGAGGCUUAACCUUACAACGCCGAAGGUGUUU